GAUGAACGCUGGCGGCGUGCCUAAUACAUGCAAGUCGAGCGAACGGACGAGAAGCUUGCUUCUCUGAUGUUAGCGGCGGACGGGUGAGUAACACGUGGAUAACCUACCUAUAAGACUGGGAUAACUUCGGGAAACCGGAGCUAAUACCGGAUAAUAUUUUGAACCGCAUGGUUCAAAAGUGAAAGACGGUCUUGCUGUCACUUAUAGAUGGAUCCGCGCUGCAUUAGCUAGUUGGUAAGGUAACGGCUUACCAAGGCAACGAUGCAUAGCCGACCUGAGAGGGUGAUCGGCCAAACUGGAACUGGGACACGGUCCAGACUCCUACGGGAGGCAGCAGUAGGGAAUCUUCCGCAAUGGGCGAAAGCCUGACGGAGCAACGCCGCGUGAGUGAUGAAGGUCUUCGGAUCGUAAAACUCUGUUAUUAGGGAAGAACAUAUGUGUAAGUAACUGUGCACAUCUUGACGGUACCUAAUCAGAAAGCCACGGCUAACUACGUG
rnacentral:rRNA from 1 species